rnacentral:rRNA from 1 species
GAUGAACGCUGGCGGCGUGCCUAAUACAUGCAAGUCGAGCGAACAGAUGAGGAGCUUGCUCCUCUGACGUUAGCGGCGGACGGGUGAGUAACACGUGGAUAACCUACCUAUAAGACUGGGAUAACUUCGGGAAACCGGAGCUAAUACCGGAUAAUAUAUAGAACCGCAUGGUUCAAUAGUGAAAGACGGUUUUGCUGUCACUUAUAGAUGGAUCCGCGCCGCAUUAGCUAGUUGGUAAGGUAACGGCUUACCAAGGCAACGAUGCGUAGCCGACCUGAGAGGGUGAUCGGCCACACUGGAACUGAGACACGGUCCAGACUCCUACGGGAGGCAGCAAUAGGGAAUCUUCCGCAAUGGGCGAAAGCCUGACGGAGCAACGCCGCGUGAGUGAUGAAGGUCUUCGGAUCGUAAAACUCUGUUAUUAGGGAAGAACAAAUGUGUAAGUAACUAUGCACGCCUUGACGGUACCUAAUCAGAAAGCCACGGCUAACUACGUG